AGUUCGAUCCUGGCUCAGAUUGAACGCUGGCGGGAUGCUUUACACAUGCAAGUCGAACGGCAGCACGGACUUCGGUCUGGUGGCGAGUGGCGAACGGGUGAGUAAUGUAUCGGAACGUGCCUAGUAGCGGGGAUAACUACGAAAGCAAGAUAAUACCGCAUACGCCCUUCGGGGAAAGCGGGGACCUUUCGGGCCUCGCACUAUUAGAGCGGCCGAUAUCGGAUUAGCUAGUUGGUGGGGUAACGGCUCACCAUUAAGGCGACGAUCCGUAGCUGGUUUGAGAGGACGACCAGCCACACUGGGACUGAGACACGGCCCAGACUCCUACGGGAGGCAGCAGUGGGGAAUUUUGGACAAUGGGGGAAACCCUGAUCCAGCCAUCCCGCGUGUGCGAUGAAGGCCUUCGGGUUGUAAAGCACUUUUGGCAGGAAAGAAACGGCACGGGAUAAUACCCCGUGCAACUGACGGUACCUGCAGAAUAAGCACCGGCUAACUACGUGCCAGCAGCCGCGGUAAUACGUAGGGUGCAAGCGUUAACGUGGAAUUACUGGGCGUAAAGCGUGCGCAGGCGGUUCGGAAAGAAAGAUGCGGAAAUCCCAGAGCUUAACUUUGAACUGCAUUUUUAACUACCGAGCUAGAGUGUCGAGGAGGUGGAAUUCCGCGUGUAGCAGUGAAAUGCGUAGAUAUGCGGAGGAACACCGAUGGCGAAGGCAGCCUGGGAUAACACUGACGCUCAUGCACGAAAGCGUGGGGAGCAAACAGGAUUAGAUACCCUGGUAGUCCACGCCCUAAACGAUGUCAACUAGCUGUUGGGGCCUUCGGGCCUUUGGUGGCGCAGCUAACGCGCGAAGUUGACCGCCUGGGGAGUACGGUCGCAAGAUUAAAACCCAAAGGAAUUGACGGGACCCGCACAAGCGGUGGAUGAUGUGGAUUAACGGAUGCAACGCGAAAAACCUUACCUACCCUUGAGGAUAUUCGAAUCCCGAAGAGAUUUGGGAGUGCUCGCAAGAGAACCGGAACACAGGUGCUGCAUGGUUGUCGUCAGCUCGUGUCGUGAGAUGCUGGGUUAAGUCCCGCAACGAGCGCAACUCCUUGUCAUUAGUUGCUACGAAAGGGCACUCUAAUGAGAUCGCCGGUGACAAACCGAGGAAGGUGGGGAUGACGUCAAGUCCUCAUGGCCCUUAUGGGUAGGGCUUCACACGUCAUACAAUGGUCGGGACAGAGGGUCGCCAACCCGCGAGGGGGCGCCAAUCCCAGAAACCCGAUCAGUCCGAUCGCAGUCUGGGUAACUCGACUGCGUGAAGUCGGAAUCGCUAGUAAUCGCGGAUCAGCAUGUCGCGGUGAAUACGUUCCCGGGUCUUGUACACACCGCCCGUCACACCAUGGGAGUGGGUUUUACCAGAAGUAGCUAGCCUAACCGUAAGGAGGGCGAUUACCACGGUAGGAUUCAUGACUGGGGUGAAGUCGUAACAAGGUAG
rnacentral:rRNA from 1 species